ensembl:lncRNA
GAAGUGAAGGAAUUUUGCUCCAGAGCGAGCUGGGACCGAAGACUCUAGGCUAAGUUAUCUCUCUAUGUAGAUGGUGUCAGGGAGCGAAGCUACUGACCGAGCCGCUGAAUUCCACUGGGAAUCAGGGAAGGAUAUUGAUUUUCAGUGAUUACAUCCAGCUCUUUAUUGCCUGAGCAGUCUGGGGCUUGCUUCGUCACUUGGCUUUGCUUCGGAGCACUCCUGUAGAGCUCUCUGAAUUGCACAGUGAAGAUCCACCCUUUUGGUGAGUGGAAUCAUACUACAAUUUUGUGUUUUGCUCUGCCUCAAGUUGUGUUUGCAUUGUUGACCAAAGUGCUUUCAUACAGAGCACAAAAUAGGGCUUUUCCAGCUCUGUGCAUGAAAGUAGGCUUGACUUUUCUGUUUUCUGUUCUUUUUUUCCCUUUUUCCUUAUGGACAAAAGUAAUUUGUACUGUCGUUUUCUCUCUCUGAAUUCUGUGAUUGCCUCUCCCCCUCCCAAACCUAUAGAAUGACUUCACAAUUAUUCAGUGGUACAUCUGCUUCUUAUUUACCUAGAUGGAUUCCCCAACCCAUCCCACCCCCCAAUCCUUAUUCCCUGGCCUCUAGGAAUAAUUUGGACACCACACUUUUAGUAUUUGCUUAUAUCCUUGGAAAUAAAAGGUGAUGGUUGUGAUUAGCUGGACUAACCAACAUCUCAUUGUAGUGUGUAAAGACCUUUUGAAUGGAAAAAUUUGGCCCUGUUGAUCUGUUUAAUGUUGUUAAUCUCUGCAGGCAAAAGCAAAAAGGAAGCUGGCGAGUCUUUCUAAUGCUCCUAGUAAAAUCCUUUUUGCUUUUAUUGUCCCUUAACUGGCAUCCUCAUCCUGUAUUUUUGCAGCAUCAAGCAUCAUAUAUCAAAUGUCUUCCUAAGGCUUUCUUGGGCUCCGACAUCCAUUUUUCUCUGAAGUGUUUUGCUUUUUUCGAUCUUGUUUUUAUAUUUUUACAAGUUAAAUCGUACCAAGAUGGUUCUCUUUGGGGUAGGGCAAUUAAAACAUUCUAUGGGGACAGCUAAUGCUUUAUACAAUUCUGAUUUGGGGAUGGGGCAUCUGACUUGGCUAAAACCUCAGUUACAGAAUAAUCUCAGUGAUUUGGGUAUAGAGACUUUAUGCCCAAGGAUAAGGUAUGAGAAGAGGUACAGUAGAGACUCCUAAGUGAUUAGAUGGAUAAAUGGAAAAGGUAUUUGGAUUAAAUCCUUUUUUCUUUUUCUUUCUUUUUUUUUAUUGCUUGUAAAAGUAUUUUCAGUGAAAAUGAAACAGAAAGUGAAGACUAGGUCUUAUGUAGCUCAGGAAUGGGGCUUGGCUUGAAGGGAAGGGUGGUGGUAGGAGUACCUUCAUAAAGGAGGUAUGUGUAUUACAGUCAUCCGACAGCCCUGGUUGGAACAGUCCAUUUAGAAAACACUUACGGAGCAGAUAAUAUAAUGCCCGAAUGGGAAUCUCAUGAGGCUGUAGUAACAAUUAAAGUAGAUGUUGCAAUACGGUACUUACCCUGGUAGUCGAGCACACUCGUUUAUCAGGGAUAAAGGAAUGUUAUCAGCAGUUCUGAGUCAUUUUUGCUGGCGAAGAAACUGAAGUCCAAGCAGCUUGCCUACAAUCUUUCUACUCCUGCUAGUUUUUCACAUUUUUCUUGCUGUCGUCAUAUGUUUUCUUGGGUGUCUGGUCUGCGUGGCAAGAGCCUUCUAUUAGAGUCUUAGAGGUUUCUUCUGAGAUUUUAUUGUGUUUUGACUCUAAGAAUGGCAUUUGACAUUUGGUUUAAUGACGCUCAGCCCUCCUUAACUUCCUCUGAAGCACCUUUGUUCCUAGUGGCUUGGAGGGCAGAUCCAAACUGAGUUGUACCCAGGAAGCUUGAUUUGGUUAGAACACAUCUCUGAUUUCAAGGCUGCUCACACACAGAUCAGGUAACUACCUCUCCCAGGAUAGUCUCCUAGUUCCACUUUCCAUCUUGGAAGCUUGGGUCCAUCGUAGCUUCUGUUCUUCAGGAAAUAGUACCCAGUCCUUAGAAACCCAUGAUAAAUGU